GGAUCCUCCAUAUGCUGAAUGCUGGUUCCCCGGGUCCCCUUAUUUCUUUCUCUAUACUUUGUCUCUGUGUCUUUUUCUUUUCCAAAUCUCUCGUCCCACCUUACGAGAAACACCCACAGGUGUGUAGGGGCAACCCACCCCUACAUCUGGUGCCCAACGUGGAGGCUUUUCUCUAGGGUGAAGGUACGCUCGAGCGUGGUCAUUGAGGACAAGUCGACGAGAGAUCCCGAGGACGUCUACAGUCAGCCUUACGACAUUUGAAGUUCUACAAUGCACCCAUCGGAGAUGCAAAGAAAAGCACCUCCGCGGAGACGGAGACACCGCAAUCGAGCACCGUUGACUCACAAGAUGAACAAAAUGGUGACAUCAGAACAGAUGAAGUUGCCAUCCACCAAGAAGGCAGAGCCGCCGACUUGGGCACAACUAAAGAAGCUGACGCAGUUAGCUACAAAAUAUCUAGAGAACACAAAGGUGACACAAACCCCAGAGAGUAUGCUGCUUGCAGCCUUGAUGAUUGUAUCAAUGGUGUCUGCAGGUGUACCCAACAGCUCCGAAGAGACAGCGACCAUCGAGAACGGGCCAUGAUGACGAUGGUGGUUUUGUCGAAAAGAAAAGGGGGAAAUGUGGGGAAAAGCAAGAGAGAUCAGAUUGUUACUGUGUCUGUGUAGAAAGAAGUAGACAUAGGAGACUCCAUUUUGUUAUGUACUAAGAAAAAUUCUUCUGCCUUGAGAUUCUGUUAAUCUAUAACCUUACCCCCAACCCCGUGCUCUCUGAAACAUGUGCUGUGUCAACUCAGAGUUAAAUGGAUUAAGGGCGGUGCAAGAUGUGCUUUGUUAAACAGAUGCUUGAAGGCAGCAUGCUCCUUAAGAGUCAUCACCACUCCCUAAUCUCAAGUACCCAGGGACACAAAAACUGCGGAAGGCCGCAGGGACCUCUGCCUAGGAAAGCCAGGUAUUGUCCAAGGUUUCUCCCCAUGUGAUAGUCUGAAAUAUGGCCUCGUGGGAAGGGAAAGACCUGACCGUCCCCCAGCCCGACACCCGUAAAGGGUCUGUGCUGAGGAGGAUUAGUAAAAGAGGAAGGAAUGCCUCUUGCAGUUGAGACAAGAGGAAGGCAUCUGUCUCCUGCCUGUCCCUGGGCAAUGGAAUGUCUCGGUAUAAAACCCGAUUGUAUGCUCCAUCUACUGAGAUAGGGAAAAACCGCCUUAGGGCUGGAGGUGGGACCUGCGGGCAGCAAUACUGCUUUGUAAAGCAUUGAGAUGUUUAUGUGUAUGCAUAUCUAAAAGCACAGCACUUAAUCCUUUACAUUGUCUAUGAUGCAAAGACCUUUGUUCACAUGUUUGUCUGCUGACCCUCUCCCCACAAUUGUCUUGUGACCCUGACACAUCCCCCUCUUCGAGAAACACCCACAGAUGAUCAAUAAAUACUAAGGGAACUCAGAGGCUGGCGGGAUCCUCCAUAUGCUGAACGCUGGUUCCCCGGGUCCCCUUAUUUCUUUCUCUA
ensembl:lncRNA novel transcript